rnacentral:rRNA from 1 species
GACGAACGCUGGCGGCGUGCUUAACACAUGCAAGUCGAACGGACAGGCCCUGCUUUUGUGGGGUGCUCGAGUGGCGAACGGGUGAGUAAAACACGAGUAACAUGCCCUUGUCUUUGUGGUAACUUCAGGGAACUGGGGCGCAUACACGAUAUGAUCUCCUGCUGCAUGGUGGGGGUUGGAAAGUGUCGGCGGUUGUGGAUGGACUCGCGGCUUAUGCGCUUGAUGGGGGGGUAGGUGCUGACCAGGGCUUCGACGGCUAGCCGGCCUGAGAGGGUGACCGGCGACAUGGGGACUGAGGUACGGCCCAGACGCCUACGGGAGGCAGCAGUGGGGAAUAUUGCACAACGGGGGGAAGCCUGAUGCAGCAACGCCGCGUGCGGGAUGACGGCUUUUGGGUGGUAAACAGCUUUCGCCGGUGAUGAAGCGUGAGUGGCGGUAAUGGGUAAAGAAGCACCGGCUAACUACGUG